UUCAACAUAUGAAUGAGGACUGGGGGGUAGCACAAUGCAACCCAUGCCACAGGUGCUUUAUUCAUGUUAGCUCAUUUAAUCUACAAAACAAUUCCAUAAGAAAGAAGACCAUGUUUCUCUUCUUAGUGAUAAAGAAGUGGAAGCUCAGUAAGGACUCUAAAGCGCAUGGCCAUGGAAAAGGACACUAGUAAUAAGUUACGGAAACUACUCAGUCCAGUAUCUGGGCAGAAUCACUAUUCCAUAUAAGGUUUUCCGGGAUGAAAAAAAGGAAAGAAAAAUAAAGGCUACCCUGCA
rnacentral:lncRNA from 10 species